GAUUAACGCUGGCGGCGUGCAUAACACAUGCAAGUCGAACGAUGAAACUUUACUGACUUCUUCGGAAUGAUUUAAAGCGGCUUAGUGGCGAACGGGUGAGUAACGCGUGAGUAACCUGCCUUACACAAGGGGAUAGCCUCUGGAAACGGAGAAUAAUACCCUAUGAAACCAGACAAUCGCAUGAUAAUCUGGUCAAAAUGUUUAGUGGUGUAAGAUGGACUUGCGUCUGAUUAGCUAGUUGGUGAGAUAAAAGCUCACCAAGGCAACGAUCAGUAGCCGGCUUGAGAGAGUGUACGGCCACAUUGGGACUGAGACACGGCCCAGACUCCUACGGGAGGCAGCAGUGGGGAAUUUUGCACAAUGGGGGAAACCCUGAUGCAGCGACGCCGCGUGAUUUAGAAGGCCUUCGGGUUGUAAAAAUCUUUUGUAUAGGAAGAAAAUGACAGUACUAUACGAAUAAGGUCCGGCUAAUUACGUG
rnacentral:rRNA from 1 species